GCCAGGGUAGCUCAGCCGGUAGAGCAGCUGAUUCGUAACCAGCAGGUCGGGAGUUCGAAUCUCCUCCCUGGCUCCA
rnacentral:tRNA from 1 species